GUCUUCGUUUUACUGAGAAAUGUAAAUUGUAUCUGCUGCUUUUUGUCAAAUAUCUCUGGCCUUGGCGUUCUACCUGUUUGGGUGAACUUUGCUGUCUAUUUUCAUCUCCUUUUGGAUGGUGAAUGUCUAUGACACUCAGGUGUUGGUCAUCAUUCUAAAUUUUUGUAAGCAAACCUGAGGUUGAGUAUAUCAUAAAGGUGUUUCGGUUUUUGUGCUUCAGAGGUGAAGAUAAUCUCAUGCCAACCUCUUCAGUUUACAACUCUAGUGUUGCAAUGAAACUCAUGAAAAACUAGAAAUGUAUGUACCCACCAUUUAAACCUAAUAUCAGAUUAACCAAGUUUAUCUAGGACCAAGGCACUGCUCACUUCUAUAGGGUGAAAGCUUGUUAGAGGAGAGGUUGAUUCUCAUGUGUUUCACAUGAAAUUUCUACAUGCACACAUUUAUAGCCCAAGUGUUUUCCCUGAAAUUUUGAACAACAUCAGCACCAAAGUUAUCGCUUUGUAUAUAGACAACAGAAAUACUUAAAUUAUAUAGACCUAUAUGUAUUUGUACGCAUUAAUCCCAGAUGUCAUUUUUGAUAUAAAAUUGCUCCGUGCUCAUCUAAAAUCAACUGCAACUCCUCUUUAUCUGGUUAAUCUUGGAUAAGCUUGUGUUCUUUGAAUUAUAUUUCAUAAAUACUAGGCCCCCUUCUUCCUGACCGAGUUGCAUUCUCUUCUCUUCUAUAAAUAUAGACGACCUCCUUCCCUGGGAACUGAUGCUUUCGUCAUGUCUAGUGAUGUUGGCUAUAUUCCUAGUUCAUUAGAUGCUCUGGCUAGGAGCCCAGAACAUGUGGUCCCCUUGAGGUUGGGAGGUUGGC
rnacentral:lncRNA from 1 species